CCCUUAGAUGUUCUGGGCCGCACGCGCGCUACACUGACGAUGGCAACGAGUUUUUCCUUCGCCGAAAGGUGUGGGUAAUCUUUUGAAACAUCGUCGUGCUGGUGAUAGAUCAUUGCAAUUUUUGAUCUUGAACGAGGAAUUCCUAGUAAGCGCGAGUCAUCAGCUCGCGUUGAUUACGUCCCUGCCCUUUGUACACACCGCCCGUCGCUACUACCGAUUGAAUGGUUUAGUGAGGACUCCUGAUUGGCGCCGCCGCCCCGGCAACGGAGCAGCGGACUGCCGAAAAGUUGUUCAAACUUGAUCAUUUAGAGGAAGUAAAAGUCGUAACA
rnacentral:rRNA from 1 species